rnacentral:rRNA from 1 species
UAGGCGAACGGCUGAGUAACACGCGGGCAACCUGCCCCUCUCAUUGGGAUAGCCACGGGAAACCGUGGAUAAUACCGAAUACUUCGAGACUUCCGCAUGGAAGACUCGAGAAAGCUCCGGCGGAGAGGGAUGGGCCCGCGGCCUGUUAGCUUGUUGGUGGGGUAACGGCCUACCAAGGCAAUGAUGGGUAGCUGGGUUGAGAGACCGACCAGCCAGAUUGGGACUGAGACACGGCCCAG